CGUCUAGGCGGACCGAUAAGUCGGGUAUGAAAGCCCUGGGCUCAACUCAGGAACUGUGCCCGAUACUGUCGGCCUUGAGUGUAGAAGGGGAGAGUGGAACUCCUGGUGUAGCGGUGAAAUGCGUUGAUAUCAGGAUGAACGCCGGUGGCGAAAGCGGCUCUCUAGUCUACUACUGACGCUGAAGCGCGAAAGCUAGGGGAGCGAACG
rnacentral:rRNA from 1 species